rnacentral:rRNA from 1 species
GAGAACCUACGGGGGGCAGCAGUGGGGAAUAUUGCACAAUGGGCGAAAGCCUGAUGCAGCAACGCCGCGUGAAGGAAGACGGUUUUCGGAUUGUAAACUUCUGUUCUUAGUGAAGAAUAAUGACGGUAACUAAGGAGCAAGCCACGGCUAACUACGUGCCAGCAGCCGCGGUAAUACGUAGGUGGCAAGCGUUGUCCGGAAUUACUGGGUGUAAAGGGAGCGUAGGCGGGCAGCCAAGGCAGCUGUGAAAUCUACGGGCUUAACCUGUAGACUGCAGUUGAAACUGGCUUUCUUGA